UGGCCAAUGGCACCCUCUCCUUAUCUUUUCCUCUUCACUUAUUCUAACAACUCCCAAUCCGUCGUCAUUUCGUCUCCAACUCCAGCAAUGUCCGGCAAUUCUCGCUGCAACGUCUACAUAGGUCUGCAGUGCACAGCAUCUUAGUUGGUCAAUAGAGAUACUCUGUAAGACUAAAACUCUAUUAUGCUCAAUCGACUCUGGCUGGCAGUGAAACUGUAGAGGUGGUCAAAUGCAGUUUUGACAUGGAAAGUUUAACAGAAAACAGGGGCAGUUCCAUUUUAUGAAUCAAGAAAAGACCAGGUCUGGUACUAGAAAGCAUGUGAAAUAUGAGUUUUGAAGGCUACAACUUCUCUGCAUUCUCUAUAGCAAGAUAUGAUAUAUCAUAUUAGACACAAUUCUUCUCCAAAAUUUCUGUGAAUGGGCACAUCAAUCCUUUUUUUUUUGGGGAUUAUACAUUAAUCCUCUGAUAUCUACUUAUUGGUGUACUUGAGAUACAUAUCCUCUAGCCUCUGAUAGACAUUAUAUGAAUUGAAUUAAACUCACUCAUCGUAAAUAUCUGUACUCAUUUUUGUGCAGAUAUUUACUUGUAGCA